AGUAAAGUAAGCUAAUUAAAGCUUUUGGGCCCAUACCCCAAAAAUGUCGGUUAAAAUCCCUCCUCUGCUG
rnacentral:tRNA from 1 species